GCGGCGGACGGGUGAGUAACACGUGGGCAACCUGCCUGUAAGACUGGGAUAACUUCGGGAAACCGGAGCUAAUACCGGAUAAUGCAUUUCCCCUCAUGAGGAUAUGCUGAAAGAUGGUUUCGGCUAUCACUUACAGAUGGGCCCGCGGCGCAUUAGCUAGUUGGUGAGGUAACGGCUCACCAAGGCAACGAUGCGUAGCCGACCUGAGAGGGUGAUCGGCCACACUGGGACUGAGACACGGCCCAGACUCCUACGGGAGGCAGCAGUAGGGAAUCUUCCGCAAUGGACGAAAGUCUGACGGAGCAACGCCGCGUGAGUGAUGAAGGUUUUCGGAUCGUAAAACUCUGUUGUCAGGGAAGAACAAGUGCCGGAGUAACUGCCGGCACCUUGACGGUACCUGACCAGAAAGCCACGGCUAACUACGUGCCAGCAGCCGCGGUAAUACGUAGGUGGCAAGCGUUGUCCGGAAUUAUUGGGCGUAAAGCGCGCGCAGGCGGUCUCUUAAGUCUGAUGUGAAAGCCCACGGCUCAACCGUGGAGGGUCAUUGGAAA
rnacentral:rRNA from 1 species